rnacentral:rRNA from 1 species
AGUAAUGUCUGGGAAACUGCCUGAUAGAGGGGGAGUAACUACUGGAAACGGUGGCUAAUACCGCAUAAUGUCUACGGACCAAAGCAGGGGCUCUUCGGACCUUGCACUAUCGGAUGAACCCAUAUGGGAUUAGCUAGUAGGUGGGGUAAAGGCUCACCUAGGCGACGAUCUCUAGCUGGUCUGAGAGGAUGAUCAGCCACACUGGGACUGAGACACGGCCCAGACUCCUACGGGAGGCAGCAUG